UUUGUUUUCUGUUUUAGCUAAACAAAGUCUAAAAAGUUUCCAUUGUUGCUGUUGCUGUGUUUCCAAAACAUCCUGUGGCCAAGUUAUUCCCUGAAGAAAUGUAUCCUUCAAGACAACAAGUAUGAGAGAUAAAUAGGAUCUGUUUGUAACAAUCACAUCAUGGAGGAAUCACUGUGAACAAGGAGACAGAAUCAGGCAACCUGGGAAUGAUAAGAUGUAUUGCAAUGUUCGAUGGCAAGCCUGUGAUUUUACUGUUCAAGGGAUGAACUCCAGUUCAAUAAGAAAUGGUCAGAACAACCUGGAACAGGGCACCCCACCAUACUGCACAGCACAGUGUCAUUUCUCAAAGAGAAAGUAAAUCCUGCACCAGUUUCCUGCAGAAAACAGUUCCCUAACUGACCACACCAUUGCAUUAAUAAGGCUACCCUCUGAGGACUGGACAUAACAGGUACAAAUCAGGCUGACUUCCACAAAGGGAAUUAUCCAGCCUUUGGUGGCAGCAGGUUCCAGGCACCAAUUACACAAAAGAGAUAUGCAGGAGCAGUGCUUGACCCUCAAGAACUGUGUGAGCUGUUCACUGCUACCCUUAGACAGUAAGAGAAAAGUUGGCCCAAAGUGCUUAAAGGUGUUACACAAGCAGUGGGUGGGAGGAGUAAUAAAACUUCUGCCUUCUUCCUUGCUGAUCUGGCUCAAAAAGCCAGAUAAUGCUCAGAGCAUACACAUGCUCCUCCCCUGGGCUAUACAGAACCGUAUCAGGGCAGCACUGCACCAGUCUGCUGAUGCUGCAGAGUCAAAGAAUUAAUUUGGGGGAAUCUCAUACUAACAGGCUUAUGUGGCCACUGGGGUAUAUAUAAGGUAAUAAUACAGCACUUUUACCUGGUGUAAAGUGAAUCUAUCUUUCCUUUCUUGAGAUGGAGAAUCAAAAUGUGAGGCUGGUCUCAAACCUUAACUGAUUAAAAAGAAGCUAAUUAAGCUGACAUUAACUUCUGAUGACAAAUUGAUAAAGAAACUAAACGCUUACUGUGAACUGUAAUAUUUUCUUGCAUGUACUCAGAUUUAUUUUGGCAGCUUUUUUAUGGAGAAACAUGACAUUGCUUACUAUAUCAUACACUUCUAUUUCAUUCAACAGAACUAAUGCGUAAAAACAUGAAUGUUCCCAGAUUUGCUCUUCCAAAAUCUCAGGUGCAGUUUGCCAAAGACAAGUAAAUUUGCAACAUAUGAGACUGUAAUAUUUCAAUAAACUAGAAGUGAAUGAAUAACUGUGAUACCUUUUACACUUAAUUAAUUUCUGUUGUUGUUAAAUCAUAACAAACAGGAUUUUUAUUAAAUUAUCCCCACAGACAAACUGAUAUAUUAAUUCUCCACUGAGAUUCUACCUCCAGUUACAUAAUUUUCAA